AAAAAUUUAGUUAAAAUUAUAACAUUAGCUUGUCAAGCUAAAAUUAUCAAAAAGAUAAUUUUUA
rnacentral:tRNA from 1 species